AUUGAACGCUGGCGGCAUGCCUUACACAUGCAAGUCGAACGGCAGCACGGGGCAACCUGGUGGCGAGUGGCGAGCGGGUGAGUAAUGCAUCGGAACGUGCCAUUGAGUGGGGGAUAACGUAGCGAAAGUUGCGCUAAUACCGCAUAUUCUGUGAGCAGGAAAGCAGGGGACCGCAAGGCCUUGCGCUCUUUGAGCGGCCGAUGUCAGAUUAGCUAGUUGGUGAGGUAACGGCUUACCAAGGCGACGAUCUGUAGCGGGUCUGAGAGGAUGAUCCGCCACACUGGAACUGAGACACGGUCCAGACUCCUACGGGAGGCAGCAGUGGGGAAUUUUGGACAAUGGGCGCAAGCCUGAUCCAGCCAUGCCGCGUGAGUGAAGAAGGCCUCGG
rnacentral:rRNA from 1 species